GGAGGUGGCAAGCGUUGUUCGGAAUUACUGGGCGUAAAGGGCGCGUAGGCGGCAAGGCAAGUCAGGUGUGAAAGCCCCGAGCUUAACUCGGGAAUUGCAUCUGAAACUGCUGUGCUUGAGUUCUGGAGGGGGUAGUGGAAUUCCCAGUGUAGCGGUGAAAUGCGUAGAUAUUGGGAGGAACACCUGCGGCGAAGGCGGCUACCUGGACAGAAACUGACGCUGAGGCGCGAAAGCUAGGGGAGCGAACGGGAUUAGAUACCCCGGUAGUCCUAGCCGUAAACGAUGGGCACUUGGUGUUGGGGGUAUUGAGUCCCCCAGUGCCGGAGUUAACACGUUAAGUGCCCCGCCUGGGGAGUACGGUCGCAAGACUG
rnacentral:rRNA from 1 species